rnacentral:lncRNA from 1 species
AAAAUAUACAGUUUUUUGGAGGGAGUUAAUGGUUAUGGAAUUAAAGUAAUAAAUGUAUAGGCUACAUAUACAGUGGUACUCGACUUACGAACCGCUCUACAUAAGAAAUUUUUUCAUAUCUCAUUUUGGCCUCUGGACCAAUUUACUCGAGAUACGAACCAUGAUGAUUUUAAGUAUUUUAUUUGUAUAAAAUUGUCUAUAGGUUUCGUAUAAAACUAACUCAAUUAUUUUUUGAAAUCAAUAUAGAUGAUAAAGACCGCUUAUUCUUCAUAAUAUUAAAGAUGUGCAUAAUAAUUUCUAUUUAUAUCGAAUUCUUUGUUAAUUUUUAACUUGUCACGCCAGUUAAAGCCCAACAGACUAUAACGCCAGUUGGAGCUAUCGGUGCUGCUGUUAAAAACUUUUACAGUGGGAUCAUUUAUGACAAUAUCUAGAAAGGAUUCGGUACAUUCGACUCGAAUUAAAGAGCUCGGCCAAACCGCAACCAAAAAGACCGCUUAAUGACACCGGAGUUCGAAAUUUUAUUAGAAGCUGGAACCAAAAUUUUAUAACUGCCUUACAAGUUAAACUAAAUCUCCUUAUUUUCGAUCUUCGAAUUUAGUUUUCGUUUGAAUAGAAGCCUUUUUUUAAUUAAAGAAAAAUCGAGGCAUGGAAAUUUGCCGACUUUCAUACAUUUUAAUCCGUUAAUUAAAAUUUUCUGAUCUGAAAAUUUUUAGUUCAGUGGCUAUGCUGACCAAGCUCCGAUGCAUUAGUAGUAUAGAAUAUAGUAAACAGGGAUAGUAGUGCGGCAUGGAUAAUCAUGCGCAUCAAAGGUUCUCGCAUUUGCAGUUGCUUUUAUAACUUCAUCAAGUUCAGUUUUUAACGCAUGAUUAUCACAUUCUUAAGAAAACAAACAUUUUUGCGAUACGUAUACUGAAUAUUGUGAAUACUAAACUAAAAAUCCGGAAGAUGUGAAUUUUUCUGGUUUUUUGGAAUUGAAAUCUUGAAAACUGUUUUGUCUUUUCAGAAAUAUUAAUAACUCAUACAGUGUCCGGCAGGCCACGGGCGGAUAAAGCCGCCCUGACAGAGAUUACUUCCAAUGAUUUCUAUAUCCGCCCAAAUCGUCAUCCAGCUUCUUCUAUGUUUUUUCUAUUUAAUUUCGCAGAUAUUAUCAUAUAAUUUUUUUAAUGUGAUAGUUAUGUCCGUAAUCUAUAAAUUUGUAAUUGACUUCAUCCUUGUAUAUUUAUUAGAUUUUUUUUUAAAUAGACGUUUUUCUUACAUUGGACUUUUAGUCAGUUUUGUUAUAUUCGUGAAUUUUAUUUUAUUCUUUAUAUUUACUGUUCUAUCCUUUUAACCAUUUGAUAUGGUUUUCAUUUUUGAAUAUUUUUCUCGCUUACAGUAUAUAUAUAUCUUUUAUAGUUUUUAGUUAUUUCAAUUUUUUUGAUUUUUUUUCUGUCCUGUUUUUUAGAAUCUUUGUUCGAUAUAUUCCC